rnacentral:rRNA from 1 species
UAGGGAAUCUUCGGCAAUGGACGAAAGUCUGACCGAGCAACGCCGCGCGAGUGAAGAAGGUUUUCGGAUCGUAAAACUCUGUUGUUAGAGAAGAACAAGGACGUUAGUAACUGAACGUCCCCUGACGGUAUCUAACCAGAAAGCCACGGCUAACUACGUGCCAGCAGCCGCGGUAAUACGUAGGUGGCAAGCGUUGUCCGGAUUUAUUGGGCGUAAAGCGAGCGCAGGCGGUUUCUUAAGUCUGAUGUGAAAGCCCCCGGCUCAACCGGGGAGGGUCAUUGGAAACUGGGAGACUUGAGUGCAGAAGAGGAGAGUGGAAUUCCAUGUGUAGCGGUGAAAUGCGUAGAUAUAUGGAGGAACACCAGUGGCGAGGGCGGCUCUCUGGUCUGUAACUGACGCUGAGGCUCGAAAGCGUGGGGAGCAAACAGG